GCCAGACCAAAAGUUACAUUGGAAAGCAUUUCUUAGUUUAUACCAAAACAAUUAAUUUUUUAAUAUGUAGAGUAAAACCGGGAAGUUAUUCUCACAAAUUUGGUUUAAAAUCUACCUUUCUUUUAGCUUUGAGCAAAAGAAACCUCCACACUGCUGAGAGCACAGUCAGAUUCUUUGGGCUCUCUUCAAAAAGCUCGCUCUUUUUGUCAUUCCUCUCUGACCUCCUCCCUGCUAGUCCCGGGAUGAAAAGCAAGCCAGAGAUCUGCUGAGAAAUGGGCCGAGCCACUGCUGACCUUUGCAAAUCCAAUUUCUUCAAAGCGAGAGCUAAUCGACGUGUUCCCACGCUGUGUAUUGCUGAAACUUACGAUGCAAUUCAAGGAAUGAAUUCACCGUGGUGCAAUCUCAUUUUGAAUCCAGUUUUCUUGUUAUGUGUCAGAGGGUGAAGGAGGCAGAGUGUGGUACAAGUUAUAGAGAGCAGUCACAACCAGGAUUCACAUACUAUGUGCCUGGAGAAUGGCAGAAGGUGCUGCCAUUUGUUUCUCUCUCCACUGGCCAAGCCUUGGCUGAGCACAGCCCUGGGCAGCCCCUGGAUGCAGCGGGAGCAGCGGCAGCGCUCCUCAUCCUGCUGGCGUGCUCCGAGCGCGGCGGGUUUGCACAACGCUGCAACUUCUUGUCUGGGGCAAAAGGGAUACAAGAGGACUCUCGUUCCUCGUUUCACUACUGUGGGGCAUAUGUCAUGGGUAGCAAAUCCCAAAGAGAUGCUUUCAGCAGCCAAAGAGAGCAGUUAUGUCAUUGCCAGCGGGGUUUGGGCUUGGUGUGCCUCUCUUGGGAUAUCAUCUCUGCUGCUGGGAAGUCCUGGCAUGGCAGACACGAUUGGAUUUUCCAGUCUUCUGGACAUCAAAGAUUUUGGAGAAGAGAUUGUAUAAACUGGAUAGCUGCCCUGGGAGAGUUAGCUGGGGGAAUAUCAGUCCAUGUCAAUGGCUGCUGGACCACUGUCAGGAGAAGGGAUCCUGUCUGGAGAGACAGAAGAGAAUCCAUAUCCAGAAAAUCAUCUCUAAUGUGAUUUUAGGCUUUAGGCCUUAAUUAAUUUUAAACUGUUUUUGUUUUUUUAAUUUCAAAAAAAUUUUUAUCUCUUUCAUUCACUAAUUAAGUACUGCUCCAUAUAGUUAAAGCAAAUGACAAAGAAAGAGAGGGAGUUCAUCUAAAAGAGGAACUGAGCUUCUGUUCAACGCUCAGUAUUUUUUUUCUGCAUAACCAGUGGAGAAAUUGGAACAGCUCUGCCAGUUUCAAGACAAAGUUUGAAGUUCAUCUUUAGUGAACAUUUCGAUGUUAAUUAGAAUCAAACUACAAAGCCAAUAACAAAAAUGUGGAGGAAGCUCAAGACUAGCUCAGUAAUUUGCUGCAUGAACAGGGAAGUGAGGUCCUUGAUUUUUCUUUGAAGAAAAAAAAGUUUUCUGUGUGCAGUUCAUAAAAACAGGGAGAGAAAGAGGUGUCUGACUAAUAAUGAAAGGUAUGGUGAAAUCUAGGUUGUAGUCCCUGUUUUACAGACAGCUCUUUCCAUAUGCCAAGGCAGGAGCCAUGCAGGUGAAUGAAUGUAACCCUGUUAUCUCUGGGUCCCUGGGCUUGGUGCAAGCACAUAUGGAAUUAAUGUAAUGGAAUUACAUUUAAUGUUUGUACAGUGGCAAAAACUGGUGUAAACACAGCCUUUUAAAGAUGUGUUAAACAGGACAGUCUCUCUCAUUCAGAAGAGGGGAUCUUCUUGGCAAGUCUAAGAAUCGUCAGGACCUUGUACAAGUGGUAACAACCAUAACAAAUGGUUGCCAAGCUAUGAAAGUUAAUUCAGGUGUGGUAUCUCACAGCCUGUUGUUAUCUUUAAAGUGAGGCUUGUGAGCCUGUGUGCAGGCUUGUGCAGGUAGUGUACCUCAAGUUAAAGCUAUAUUUCAAUAAAUCACAGAAUGAUUUCUGUUGGAAAGGACCU
rnacentral:lncRNA from 1 species